rnacentral:sRNA from 1 species
UAUCCAGAGUGAUGCGGAUUUGGUCGGAC